rnacentral:rRNA from 1 species
CGGCACGGGUGAGUAACACGUAUCCAACCUGCCGUCUACUCUUGGACAGCCUUCUGAAAGGAAGAUUAAUACAAGAUGGCAUCAUGAGUUCACAUGUUCACAUGAUUAAAGGUAUUCCGGUAGACGAUGGGGAUGCGUUCCAUUAGAUAGUAGGCGGGGUAACGGCCCACCUAGUCUUCGAUGGAUAGGGGUUCUGAGGGGAAGGUCCCCACAUUGGAACUGAGACACGGUCCAA